CAUUCAUUCAUUCACUCAUUCAUUCAUUCAGUGAGAUGAUUUGGCUUAGCACAUAGUUGGGAGAGAAGCUUCAAUGAGAUUAAUUACUAUUCUGUUGACAAUUUUUUCCCAGUCCGCACAGAGAUCUGGGAGUUGGAUUAAGCUCUGAGCAGCUCUGAGACACACAGAAUUCUCAGAAUGGACCCACCAAUCCAGUCUCAGAAACUCACCCAGGCUUUGUCACCCUCCCAUUCUGAAGCAGGCCUAGCAUUACAUUCUUUCUUGUUUGCUACAAGGGUGAUCAGUUUGUAAAUCCAUGUGUAGCUACUGUUUUCCAUGGCACACCAGCUGGAAGUAUCAAAGGGCCCCAAAAGGGUCUCUUGGAUGGUCUUUGGUAAAUUCACAGAGGGCACUGAUUCUCCUCCAGAAAUCCCUGUGAAAAGAAUAGAGUCUUCUUUGCCAUGAAA
rnacentral:lncRNA from 1 species